CGUAGUAAUCUCGAGACGUGUUUUCCGUGUCUUUUCUAUGGACAAGUCCCUUGGAACAGGGCAUCGUAGACCCUUGAAAAUCCCGUACUUGCCAUGGAAGAACCGUGCUUUGCGAUACACGCUCUAAGAGUCGAGUUGUUUGGGAUUGCAGCUCAAAAUGGGAGGUAGACUCCAUCUAAAGCUAAUUAUCGGGGAGAGACCGAUAGCGAACAACUACCGUGAGGGAAAGAUGAAAAGCACUUUGGAAAGAGAGUUAAAAGUACGUGAAAUUGUCCAAAGGGAAGCACUUGAAGUCAGCCAUGCUGCUCGAGACUCAGCCUGGCCUUUGCUUUUGGUAUAUCCCACGUACAAACC
rnacentral:rRNA from 1 species